AUGGAGGAUUGCAACCCAAGUUUUGUUCCAAUGGAGCCUCGACUGAAACUUAGCAAAAGGAGUGAAGCCUCUGCGGUUGAUGCAACGGAGUAUAGAAGUGUGGUCGGAAGCCUAAGGUAUCUUGUGAAUACACGACCGGACUUGGCCUAUUCCGUUGGCAUAGUGAGUCGCUUCAUGGAAGCGCCCACGACUGAACAUUGGGCAGCUGUCAAACAUAUACUCAGGUACAUCAAAGGGACAACAAACUUCGGUUGUGUCUAUUUGAGAGAGAAGAAGGAGAUGGUGGAGCUACUUGGCUAUAGUGAUAGCGACCUGGCAGGAGAUGUGGACGACCGUAAAAGUACCUCGGGAGUGGCAUAUUUCUUGGGCGGGAGCAUAGUGACUUGGCUAUCACAAAAGCAAAAGGUGGUCGCAUUAUCAUCAUGCGAAGCGGAGUAUAUUGCAGCUGCGACCGCGGCGGGUCAAGGGGUGUGGCUAGAAGGCUACUCGGUGACCUCACAGAUAAGGAAGCAGAGAGUGUGGUGCUGA
rnacentral:rRNA from 1 species